ACAGGCUUUGACUGUUCACAGCCCUGGGAAGCUCAGCACGAUAAAUGUGUUCUGGGCUAAGCACCUCCUUUGGAAAAAUCACCCCAAAGUGUCCCUGGGGGCUUGGGUGGGUCUCACCUGUGGAGCCAGAGUGGCCUCCCCAAAGGAAGGUGCUGACACCUCCACUGUCACCUCCACUGCCACCUUCUGCUGGCAUCAACGUGCUCAGCAGCCCAGAAAUCAGUGCAAAGCUGUUUGCUGUGUUCACAUCCAGUGCUGGCCCAGGCUGAAGAGACUCUGUGUCCUGGAGUGAUGCAAUUCUCUGUCAGGGCAGUGGGAUGUUGCUGCUAUUGGCACUUGGGAAGCCAAAAUGCAAUUCUUGUUCUGCCCUAACGUUGCUUUUCUGUCUUUUCUCUCUGCUUUUCUGUCUGUGUUGUGCAAGGCAUGAUGAGAUGGCCUGGGGGAGCAGCUGCUGUAGAAAAUGGUUUGUUUGUAGCAGGGCUGUCAAACUCCUCCCCACUGCUGAAGCAAAUGCAGAUAUAUCAAAAGACCCCUCAGUAAAAAACAUCAUUUACCUCUGGCUUUGACAUUGCUGGUUCUGCAGUGAGGCCAAGGAGUUCAGUGGCUCUUUGGCCAAGCUGUUAAAUUUUCUUUGUGCUCUCUGUACCCACAGAAGAUCAGCAGGGAAGAAUUAAUGGAGUGCAGGGAGGGUUGUCCACACAGCAGGGUGUUCUGCCCUGCCCCUCAAUCUGUGUCACACAGGUGUAAAAAUCUUACUCUGGGGCUUUACUACCCCAAUUAGAACUCAGGUUACACUGAAUUUCCUGCAGAAGCAGCAAUGCCUGUGAGAAUCACGUCAGUCAGUUCACCUGUGCAGGUGAACUUCCCCUGCAGUGAAAAUCCCACCAGGAACAAGCCUCUGCAUCAUCCUGGAUUUUCCCACCCUGAAGGCCCUAAACAUUUUUAACAAACAAUACAUCCCCAAACUUUGUAAACAGUGGUGAAGGUGUGCAAGACCAGAGUAGCAUGGAUGGGAUGGGGUGGUCAGCAGCAGGUUAAUGCCACAUUUCUGUUCCCAGGAGAAAGCAGAGGGAAAUGAGGAGGAGUGAGACACUGACUGGGGGACAGCACGCUGCUCACAGCUGGAGAUGGCCAUGGAAAACUGGAGUGGCCACAGGACAGGCUGGAGGGAGAACAAGAGAGGCAGAGAGCCACAGAGUCCCUCCUGCAGGGCUGCAAAUGUGUGGCUCCUUGUUUCUGGGAUUUGGGCAAAAUAAACGCCCAGACACUGACCCAACAUAAAAGAACAUUUUCAGAGGAACAAAUAUUGGUUAUGAAUAAGACUUGGGAGUGCUUCUCAGGAAUGUACCUGUGCAAACGAGGAGAAAAGGAUGAAACAUCCUUCUCUUUGUCACCUCUGCUUAGAGCUGAGGGCUUGGUUCCUGUGUGAGCUCCAGGGGCUGCAGGAUGGGGCAGCCAAAGUAGGAGGCCUUGGACCUGAAAUGUUGGGGCCACGCAGAAGGGAAUUGUCCCCCAGGUCCUUCCUCACUGCAGGAACCCCUCUGUGCAGUGGCCUGGGCAGAAUUCUCUGACCUUUCUGCAGGUCCCUCCUGUGCCUCCUUUUCCCUUGGCAAACCCUGUCUGUGCAGAGCAGAUUUCUCCAGGCAUGGCCCUGCCCAGGACGUGCUCAUAAGGGACAAAGUAUUAACCCAAGAGCUAAAAAAAGAACAAAUAAAACGCCUAAGUUGGCCCAAGCA